AACUUUUGGCAACGGAUCUCUUGGUUCUAGCGUCGAUGAAGAACGCAGCGAAAUGCGAUAAGUAAUGUGAAUUGCAGAAUUCAGCGAAUGAUCGAAUCUUUGAACGCACAUUGCGCCCCCUGGUAUCCCGGGGGGCACGCCUAUUCGAGCGUCAUUGCGCCCCUCAAGCCUGGCUUGGUGUUGGGCCUUCGCCUAGGCUAGGCGAUCCCUAAACUAAUGGGCGGCGGCUGCCACUGCUCGACGCAAGGGGAUCUCGUCCACGCGUCGUCCUAGGGCGGGCGCCCACCCCGGAAGCGGUCCUCGGACCCCUCCAGAUUGACCUCGGAUUAGGCGGGAAUACCCGCUGAACUUAAGCAUAUCAAUAAGCGGAGGCU
rnacentral:misc_RNA from 1 species